GAGUUUGAUCGUGGCUCAGAACGAACGCUGGCGGCAGGCCUAAUACAUGCAAGUCGAACGCACCGCAAGGUGAGUGGCAGACGGGUGAGUAACGCGUGGGAAUAUUCCUUGCAGUACGGAAUAACUCCGGGAAACCGGUGACUAAUACCGUAUACGCCCUUUGGGGAAAGAUUUAUCGCUGCAAGAUUAGCCCGCGUCGGAUUAGCUAGUUGGUGAGGUAAUGGCUCACCAAGGCGACGAUCCGUAGCUGGUCUGAGAGGAUGAUCAGCCACACUGGGACUGAGACACGGCCCAGACUCCUACGGGAGGCAGCAGUAGGGAAUAUUGGACAAUGGGCGAAAGCCUGAUCCAGCCAUGCCGCGUGAGUGAAGAAGGCCUUAGGGUUGUAAAGCUCUUUUGGCGGGGAAGAUAAUGACGGUACCCGCAGAAUAAG
rnacentral:rRNA from 1 species